rnacentral:lncRNA from 1 species
AGUUCUUUGUCCAACUUAGCUUCAACUUUAACAAACACAAGAGUACUUGUAGAGAGAAAUUCUCCUCCAACGCAUACUCUUCUGAUGAUUACCAGCAGGUCCACUGGCAGCAGCUGGAUUGAGUGUCUGAGUCAGCCUGGCUGAUUACCUUAAUCACCUUAAUCACAGAAUCUACCCUCCCUGGAAUGGCCUUAACAUGGAGAGUGGCAGAAUGGCAGAACUACCACUUUAAGCUGAAAACUCCUCGUUAGAACGUGUUCUGAUGCCUUUAAUGAAGAGCUUGUGAUUUGUAGGAGGGACAAGAUAAUUUCAAGGCUUUGUCAAUUCUUUGCUAGUUCUUUUCUUAGUAAAGAGUUUUCCAAGAACAUCUUCGUUAGAAUACAUGGCACAUCUUGAGAGGUGCUGCUGACGUCUAAGGGAAGCUGUUGAUUUGAGGAAUUUGAAGGUUUCUGGAAGAAGGAUUUGGAAAAUUUGAAGUGAACCUCUUUUGGGAAUUAAAAGUGCUAGGUCCCUUCUCAUGGGAUCGAAUAGCAGAGUCCUGGCUACGGGUUCAAAUGCCCUGCUGAAAUCCUCAGACAAUUCCAACAUCCACAAAGCUACGAAAGGAAUUUCUGAGUCAGAACCAGGGGAGUCUUAGUUCUUCUCAGUCCUAGAAGUUAUUCUCAGAACAAAUCAAUUUGCCAUUGUAUUUAAUAAGGUAUGUAUUUAUUUAUCAACCACCUUGUUACUUAAAGGAUUUGAGAGCUGCCAAUCUAAAAGUUCGUGAAGAUCGUAUUGAUCACGAGGACUUUUUUUGUGUGUAUAUUUUUUGUUUUGUUUUGUCAACUUGCUCUGCCACUAGCUUUUAGCAUGCUAAGUAGCUUUUUGGUCUCUUCAUCUGCCAUAUCCAAGUAAUGACAGAUUCUUCUAGAGCAAUAAACAGAAGAUUAAAUGUUUGAAAAACAUGUGGAAAGUAUAUAACGCCACUCUAGACAUACAGAUUUUAAUCUUUUGAUGAGACAGAAAGGCAAAUAAUACCUCAGAAAAAUACUUGUUUAUUUCAUUUUUAUUUUUACUCUGAGGAAUUG